GAUCCGGUCGCCUAAUGGUUAGAGCGUCCGCCUCGGAUGCAUGGGAUCGUGGGUUCGAUCCCCGGUCUAGACAUAACA